UUUCAUCUCAUUUCAUCUCAAUUCAUCUCAUCAUUUCAUCUCCUCAUCUCAUCAUUUCCUCCUUUCAUUACAACAUUUCAUCUCAUCUCCUCAUCUCAUCAUUUCCUCCUUUCAUUACAACAUUUCAUCUCAUUUCUUCUCAUCUCAUUUCAAUUUCAUUAUUUCAUCUCAUUUCAUUAUUUCACCUAAUUUCAUUAUUUCAUCUCAUCUCAUCUCAGUUCAUCUGAUCUCAUUUCAUCUCAGCAUUUCAUCAUCAUUUUUCA
rnacentral:lncRNA from 1 species